rnacentral:rRNA from 1 species
GCCUGAAUCAGUGUGUGUGUUAGUGGAAGCGUCUGGAAAGGCGCGCGAUACAGGGUGACAGCCCCGUACACAAAAAUGCACAUGCUGUGAGCUCGAUGAGUAGGGCGGGACACGUGGUAUCCUGUCUGAAUAUGGGGGGACCAUCCUCCAAGGCUAAAUACUCCUGACUGACCGAUAGUGAACCAGUACCGUGAGGGAAAGGCGAAAAGAACCCCGGCGAGGGGAGUGAAAAAGAACCUGAAACCGUGUACGUACAAGCAGUGGGAGCACAGAGCAAUCUGUGUGACUGCGUACCUUUUGUAUAAUGGGUCAGCGACUUAUAUUCUGUAGCAAGGUUAACCGAAUAGGGGAGCCGAAGGGAAACCGAGUCUUAACUGGGCGUUAAGUUGCAGGGUAUAGACCCGAAACCCGGUGAUCUAGCCAUGGGCAGGUUGAAGGUUGGGUAACACUAACUGGAGGACCGAACCGACUAAUGUUGAAAAAUUAGCGGAUGACUUGUGGCUGGGGGUGAAAGGCCAAUCAAACCGGGAGAUAGCUGGUUCUCCCCGAAAGCUAUUUAGGUAGCGCCUCGUGAAUUCAUCUCCGGGGGUAGAGCACUGUUUCGGCAAGGGGGUCAUCCCGACUUACCAACCCGAUGCAAACUGCGAAUACCGGAGAAUGUUAUCACGGGAGACACACGGCGGGUGCUAACGUCCGUCGUGAAGAGGGAAACAACCCAGACCGCCAGCUAAGGUCCCAAAGUCAUGGUUAAGUGGGAAACGAUGUGGGAAGGCCCAGACAGCCAGGAUGUUGGCUUAGAAGCAGCCAUCAUUUAAAGAAAGCGUAAUAGCUCACUGGUCGAGUCGGCCUGCGCGGAAGAUGUAACGGGGCUAAACCAUGCACCGAAGCUGCGGCAGCGACACUGUGUGUUGUUGGGUAGGGGAGCGUUCUGUAAGCCUGUGAAGGUGUACUGUGAGGUAUGCUGGAGGUAUCAGAAGUGCGAAUGCUGACAUAAGUAACGAUAAAGCGGGUGAAAAGCCCGCUCGCCGGAAGACCAAGGGUUCCUGUCCAACGUUAAUCGGGGCAGGGUGAGUCGACCCCUAAGGCGAGGCCGAAAGGCGUAGUCGAUGGGAAACAGGUUAAUAUUCCUGUACUUGGUGUUACUGCGAAGGGGGGACGGAGAAGGCUAUGUUGGCCGGGCGACGGUUGUCCCGGUUUAAGCGUGUAGGCUGGUUUUCCAGGCAAAUCCGGAAAAUCAAGGCUGAGGCGUGAUGACGAGGCACUACGGUGCUGAAGCAACAAAUGCCCUGCUUCCAGGAAAAGCCUCUAAGCAUCAGGUAACAUCAAAUCGUACCCCAAACCGACACAGGUGGUCAGGUAGAGAAUACCAAGGCGCUUGAGAGAACUCGGGUGAAGGAACUAGGCAAAAUGGUGCCGUAACUUCGGGAGAAGGCACGCUGAUAUGUAGGUGAAGUCCCUCGCGGAUGGAGCUGAAAUCAGUCGAAGAUACCAGCUGGCUGCAACUGUUUAUUAAAAACACAGCACUGUGCAAACACGAAAGUGGACGUAUACGGUGUGACGCCUGCCCGGUGCCGGAAGGUUAAUUGAUGGGGUCAGCGCAAGCGAAGCUCUUGAUCGAAGCCCCGGUAAACGGCGGCCGUAACUAUAACGGUCCUAAGGUAGCGAAAUUCCUUGUCGGGUAAGUUCCGACCUGCACGAAUGGCGUAAUGAUGGCCAGGCUGUCUCCACCCGAGACUCAGUGAAAUUGAACUCGCUGUGAAGAUGCAGUGUACCCGCGGCAAGACGGAAAGACCCCGUGAACCUUUACUAUAGCUUGACACUGAACAUUGAGCCUUGAUGUGUAGGAUAGGUGGGAGGCUUUGAAGUGUGGACGCCAGUCUGCAUGGAGCCGACCUUGAAAUACCACCCUUUAAUGUUUGAUGUUCUAACGUGGACCCGUGAUCCGGGUUGCGGACAGUGUCUGGUGGGUAGUUUGACUGGGGCGGUCUCCUCCUAAAGAGUAACGGAGGAGCACGAAGGUUGGCUAAUCCUGGUCGGACAUCAGGAGGUUAGUGCAAUGGCAUAAGCCAGCUUGACUGCGAGCGUGACGGCGCGAGCAGGUGCGAAAGCAGGUCAUAGUGAUCCGGUGGUUCUGAAUGGAAGGGCCAUCGCUCAACGGAUAAAAGGUACUCCGGGGAUAACAGGCUGAUACCGCCCAAGAGUUCAUAUCGACGGCGGUGUUUGGCACCUCGAUGUCGGCUCAUCACAUCCUGGGGCUGAAGUAGGUCCCAAGGGUAUGGCUGUUCGCCAUUUAAAGUGGUACGCGAGCUGGGUUUAGAACGUCGUGAGACAGUUCGGUCCCUAUCUGCCGUGGGCGCUGGAGAACUGAGGGGGGCUGCUCCUAGUACGAGAGGACCGGAGUGGACGCAUCACUGGUGUUCGGGUUGUCAUGCCAAUGGCACUGCCCGGUAGCUAAAUGCGGAAGAGAUAAGUGCUGAAAGCAUCUAAGCACGAAACUUGCCCCGAGAUGAGUUCU